rnacentral:rRNA from 1 species
UACGUAGGGUGCAAGCGUUAAUCGGAAUUACUGGGCGUAAAGCGUGCGCAGGCGGUGAUGUAAGACAGAUGUGAAAUCCCCGGGCUCAACCUGGGAACUGCAUUUGUGACUGCAUCGCUGGAGUGCGGCAGAGGGGGAUGGAAUUCCGCGUGUAGCAGUGAAAUGCGUAGAUAUCUGGAGGAAUACCGGUGGCGAAGGCGGCAUCCUGGACCGACAUUGACGCUGAUGAGCGAAAGCUAGGGGAGCAAACGGG